UGAAGCAGAAUUCACCAAG
rnacentral:ncRNA from 3 species